AUCUGGAUCGUCGCAAGACGGACUAAAGCGAAAGCAUUUGCCAAAGGUGUUUUCAUUAAUCAAGAACGAAAGUUAGAGGUUCGAAGGCGAUUAGAUACCGCUGUAGUUCUAACCAUAAAUGAUGCCAGCCAGCGAUCCGCCGAAGUUUCAUAAAUUUAACCCGGUGGGCAGCUCCCGGGAAACCAAAGCUUUCGGGCUCCGGGGGGAGUAUGGUUGCAAAGCUGAAACUUAAAGGAAUUGACGGAAGGGCACCACCAGGAGUGGAGCCUGCGGCUUAAUUCGACUCAACACGGGAAAACUCACCAGGCCCGGACACUGGAAGGAUUGACGGAUUAACAGCUCUUUCUCGAUUCGGUGGGUGGUGGUGCAUGGCCGCUCUUAGUUGGUGGAGCGAUUUGUCAGGUUAAUUCCGGUAACGAACGUAACUCACCGGCGGUAUAUAUAGCCGCACGAGAUUGAGCAAUAGCAGGUCUGUGAUGCCCUUAGAUGUCCUGGGCCGCACGCGCGCUACACUGAAGGGAUCAGCGUGUCCUCCUUGGCCUAACGGCCCGGGUAACCCGAUGAAACCCCUUCGUGAUAGGGAUUGGGGUUUGCAAUUCUCCCCCAUGAACGAGGAAUUCCUAGUAAAAGCGGGUCACCAGCUCGCGUUGAUUGCGUCCCUGCCCUUUGUACACACCGCCCGUCGCUACUACCGAUGGAUGAUUUGGUGAGGUCUUCGGACUGGCGCGCGGAAGUUCGCCUCGGACAUCCGACGCGCCGGAAGUUUGACCGAAUUUGAUCAUUUAGAGGAGUAAAGUCGUAC
rnacentral:rRNA from 1 species